rnacentral:rRNA from 1 species
AUACGUAGGUGACAAGCGUUAUCCGGAUUUACUGGGCGUAAAGGGCGUGUAGGCGGUCUUGCAAGUCAGAAGUGAAAUUCCUGAGCUCAACUCGGGCGCUGCUUCUGAAACUGCAGGACUUGAGUGCUGGAGGGGAUAGCGGAAUUCCUAGUGUAGCGGUGAAAUGCGUAGAUAUUAGGAGGAACACCAGUGGCGAAGGCGGCUUGCUGGACGACAACUGACGCUGAGGCGCGAAAGUGUGGGGAGCAAACAGGAUUAGAUACCCUGGUAGUCCACGCGGUAAACGAUGAAUGCUAGGUGUUGCGGGUAUCGACCCCUGCAGUGCCGGAGUAAACACAAUAAGCACUCCGCCUGGGGAGUACGGCCGCAAGGUUGAAACUCAAAUGAAUUGGCGGGG